rnacentral:rRNA from 1 species
CCUACGGGGGGCUGCAGUGGGGAAUAUUGGACAAUGGGGGGAACCCUGAUCCAGCCAUGCCGCGUGUGUGAAGAAGGCCCUCGGGUUGUAAAGCACUUUCAGUGAGGAAGAACGCCUGGUGGUUAAUACCCAUCAGGAAAGACAUCACUCACAGAAGAAGCACCGGCUAACUCCGUGCCAGCAGCCGCGGUAAUACGGAGGGUGCGAGCGUUAAUCGGAAUUACUGGGCGUAAAGCGCGCGUAGGUGGCUUGAUAAGCCGGUUGUGAAAGCCCCGGGCUCAACCUGGGAACGGCAUCCGGAACUGUCAAGCUAGAGUGCAGGAGAGGAAGGUAGAAUUCCCGGUGUAGCGGUGAAAUGCGUAGAGAUCGGGAGGAAUACCAGUGGCGAAGGCGGCCUUCUGGUCUGACACUGACACUGAGGUGCGAAAGCGUGGGUAGCAAACAGGAUUAGAUACCCUAGUAGUC